UAGGGAAUUUUGCGCAAUGGGGGGAACCCUGACGCAGCGACGCCGCGUGGGCGAAGAAGGCCUUCGGGUUGUAAAGCCCUGUUGCCCGGGACGAAGUCUCCAGAGCGAAUACCUCUGGGGGUGACGGUACCGGGUGAGGAAGCCCCGGCUAACUACGUGCCAGCAGCCGCGGUAAUACGUAGGGGGCGAGCGUUGUCCGGAAUUACUGGGCGUAAAGGGCGUCUAGGUGGCCUCUUGCGUGUAAGGUUAAAGGCGUCGGCUCAACCGACGACGUGCCUUGCAAACGGGGAGGCUUGAGAACAGGAGAGGGAUGCGGAAUUCCCGGUGGAGCGGUGAAAUGCGUAGAGAUCGGGAAGAACACCAGUGGCGAAGGCGGCAUCCUGGCCUGGAUCUGACACUGAAGCGCGAAAGCGUGGGGAGCGAACGGGAUUAGAUACCCCGGUAGUCCACACCGUAAACGAUGGGUACUAGGUGUGGGAGGUAUCGACCCCUUCCGUGCCGGAGCUAACGCACUAAGUACCCCGCCUGGGGAGUACGGCCGCAAGGCUG
rnacentral:rRNA from 1 species